rnacentral:lncRNA from 1 species
GACGGCUCGGCCCCGCUCCCUGGAGGCGCUGGUGCUCUCUGGCUCUCGGUGCGGUAGCGCCAUCUGGCGCCGAGUGUUCCCCGGCCUGCGGAGGGGCGCGCUUCCUCCCGUCAGAACCUUCCAGAGACACCGCGGCGGGGCCGCCGGGGCUCUGUCUCCCUUUCUCUGCAUCCUGCUUGCGGAUCAGAUGUGAGCUCUCAGCUACUGCUCUGGUGUCACACCUGCCUGCCUGCCACCGUGCCGCCUGCCAUGAUGAUCAUGGACACACCCUCUGAAACUGAAAUAGCUAUCUUUAAAAGAUUCUGUUCUGGGCAUUGGAGAGAUGGCUCAGCAAUUGCAGAAGACCAGGGUUUGAUUCCCAGCACUACAUGGUGGCUCACAACCAUAUGUAAUUCUGAUUUUUAGGAGGAUAUGGUAUCUUCUUCUGGCCUCUGUGGGCACUGAACACAUGUGGUUCAUAUACAUACAUGCAGGGUCUCCCUGGAAGAAAAGCAUUUUGUGCCGGGGUGAGGCGGUUGUGUGAAGGAGGGCCUAUUAAGUGCUUAUGAAUUGAGUAGAGAAGAAAGCAAGGAUUCUGGGAAAUUUGAUAAACUCCCUCAAAUCUUGACUGUGGGCUGCUCAGCCCCUAUCUUGCUAUCAGAAGAUGCCAACAAUGGAAAAAGCCAGGAUCAUUAUCUCAGGGGCAAGACCAGCUGACACAGGUUAAUCUUCGCUGUCGCCCUAAGGAUCUUUGGUUUUAUAGUAAGAGUGAGGUUCAGCAUCAUGGGCGUCCUUAUCCAGCUCUGGAAUCACUCAUGCGUUCAGGGUUUUGUUGCUGUUUUUUUGUUUUAACUACCUUUUGAGUAAUUGUGACUAUCCUAGAGUUCUGAUCAAAAGGAAAUGGCUCUGCGUCUCAUAGCCUUGCAGAAUUCAAAACAAUAAAAUAUUACGUGC